rnacentral:rRNA from 1 species
CAGUCGCCGCUGUAAUACGUAGGGUGCAAGCGUUAAUCGGGAUCACUGGGCGUAAAGCGUGCGCAGGCGGUUCUAUAAGACAGAUGUGAAAUCCCCGGGCUCAACCUGGGAACUGCAUUUGUGACUGUAGAGCUGGAGUGCGGCAGAGGGGGAUGGAAUUCCGCGUGUAGCAGUGAAAUGCGUAGAUAUGCGGAGGAACACCGAUGGCGAAGGCAAUCCCCUGGGCCUGCACUGACGCUCAUGGACGAAAGCGUGGGGAGCAAACAGGAUUAGAUACCCCUGUAGUCCCUGUCUCUUAUAC